GUGGGGAAUAUUGGACAAUGGGCGCAAGCCUGAUCCAGCCAUGCCGCGUGAGUGAUGAAGGCCUUAGGGUUGUAAAGCUCUUUCAGUGGGGACGAUAAUGACGGUACCCACAGAAGAAGCCCCGGCUAACUUCGUGCCAGCAGCCGCGGUAAUACGAAGGGGGCUAGCGUUGUUCGGAUUUACUGGGCGUAAAGCGCACGUAGGCGGAUCGUUAAGUCGGGGGUGAAAUCCUGGAGCUCAACUCCAGAACUGCCUUCGAUACUGGCGAUCGUGAGUCCGGAAGAGGUGAGUGGAACUCCUAGUGUAGAGGUGGAAUUCGUAGAUAUUAGGAAGAACACCAGUGGCGAAGGCGGCUCACUGGUCCGGUACUGACGCUGAGGUGCGAAAGCGUGGGGAGCAAACAGGAUUAGAAACCCUAGUAGUCC
rnacentral:rRNA from 1 species